UACAGAGGGUGCAAACGUUGCUCGGAAUUAUUGGGCGUAAAGCGCGUGUAGGCGGCUUGUUAAGUUGGUUGUGAAAACCCAUGGCUCAACCAUGGAAGGGCGUCCAAAACUGGCAAGCUAGAGUCCCGACGAGGAUGGCGGAAUUCCCAGUGUAGAGGUGAAAUUCGUAGAUAUUGGGAGGAACACCGGUGGCGAAGGCGGCUCUCUGGACCGAUACUGACGCUGAGGCGCGAAAGCGUGGGGAGCAAACAGG
rnacentral:rRNA from 1 species